rnacentral:tRNA from 1 species
UUUUCUUUAGCUUAUAUUUAAAGCGUUAGUUUGAAGCACUGAAGUUAAUUAAAUAUUAAGGAGGC